CUCUCUCUCUCUCUCUCUCUCUCUCUCUCUCUCUCUCCAUUCCAUCCUCCCAAAACCGACAACCUAUCUCUCUCACUUUAAAUGCUAGAGGAGAGAGCUCCCCUUUGGAUUUGCAGGAUCCGACGCAGCAGCAUCCAAAACUGCCUGCAGGUUGGCUGGAACACAGCUUGGAGAAGAUCCAACUAGCAGGGGAUUCCAAUUGGAUUUGUGCUUUAAAAUUUUUAUUAUUAUUUAUCAUUAGCACUUUUCUUCAAUAUUCUAUUGUCUAGUUUAGCGUCAAUGUUUUGUCUGCCUUCUUCUUUUCCUAAAUUUAUAACUGGAUAUUGUGAUACGUUGGCAUUAAGGCUUUAGAUGACGAUGACAAUGAAGGACUGGAUUUUGUGACAACUUGAGAAUCUACUUUUAGAGAUUGUUGAAUGAUGAUGCUGUCACAAGAUAGAAUUAGGAGGGGCCUUAGAUCUUGGAAGGUUGGAAAGGCAUAUGUAUUAUCAUACAUCAUUAGGAAGGGUUGAGAAAUUUCUAGCGAUUUUAGAGGAUAAUGCUGGUUGAUGCUUCAGUUGUUUUAGUAUUUCCAAAACAGCUAGAAGAGAUAGAGUGCAUCCUAGAGACAUUUGUAUCAGACUGAAUUGAUGGAAGGAUUGAAUGUCAUUAAAACAUCUCAAUAGGCCCUGCACGUCAAUUUGUAUGUUCAGCUUAUCCUAGAGACAUUUGUAUCAGACUAUGAAUUGAAUUGGCUCUAAUGAUCCUAGCUUUCUUUCACUGUUUGGAUUUUUAGAAAUUAAUGCUAGAUGGCAUGUAUUUUAGAUUUGAUGGGUUCCAUAUUAAUGAAGAUUAUAGAUGCAAAAACUGGAAAGGAGAAACAUGUUACAAUUUCUGUUGAUGAUGGAAUUCGACCGAACACAUCAUUGUCUGAUUUAGCAAAGCUCAAACAUGCAUUUAAGGAGGGUGGAUUUCAACAGAUUGUUGAGGUCCAUGAUUUCAACAGUCUGAUUCAAGUAACCAUUUAAGGAGGGUGCAAAAAUUACCAUCACUGAACCCAGACCUGGAGCAACAGAGACUGCGAUUAUAAUAUUUGGAACACCUGAGCAGACACAUGCUGCACAGAUCUUCUUCAAGCAUUUGUACUGAGCGAACAGGGCACUCCUUGACUUGUUGCAUUGGACUGGUAAACUUCGAAAUUCUGCUGCAUCUGACCUGUCUUUGAGUAUAUAUUCAGCUAGAAAGAAACAGUAUGAUUUGCUCCUUGUUAGCCGCUGAUGGAAUCACUAGCAUCACAACUUCAUCAUCAUCAUAGCCUUGUCCCAACUAUUUGGGGUCAGCUUUAUGUAAGUCCCUACCCUAGAUUGCAUUGAAAAGCACACAAGGGAAAGGAAAUGGCUGGUUAUACACAAAGGUUUUUUUCUGUUGGAGUACUUACGUUCUAAAGGAGAGGAGAGUAGAGGGAGUAUCAAUGCUCUGAUUUGUGGAUUGAUGGAUGCUCUGAUUUGAAGUCACUUCUAAAAGGACUACAAGAAAUUGGAGUUGUGGAGUAUCAAUGCUCUGAACAGUAUACGCACAUAGCCAACGCCAAUUAAUUGGAAUGUGGCUUAGAUGACAUGAAGGCAAUCAAUUUCAAAUUGAUUUUUAAUUUUUAAUUUUUUAUUUUUUUUAACCCAUGCGUCAAUGCAUCAGAUGGAGCAAAAUGCAAUCAUGACCAUCCAUCUUCUGGUCUGUACUAUAAAUGGGCCAUGGACCAAAAGUUGUCUCAAUUGGACAACUGUAAGUAUCUGGGGAUUGCACUUUUACCCAGUUGCCUAUCAUUUUUCAUCAGUUUUUGCCUGUGACCAUUUGUUUGUAGAUCAAGAGGGUGGUGCAAUUUCUUGGGCUGAGACCCAUCGACGCUAUGCGCCACCAGAUAUAUAGAUGUUUUGUAUCUUCUAUGCACCACAUGCAUAGCGGUGGAAUCUAAAAUAUCUUUUUCAUAUUUUCUUUUUUUAAUACGAAAAUAAUGCUUACGGCUUUUUUGUUAAAUCUAAAGUUUGAAAUUUGAAUUUAAAGUAUGAAAACCUAUUUGGUAACUACCCAAAAGAGAUGCUAAAGUCUAAACAUUAAGUAUUGAAUUUGAAACAAUCUGUUUAUUAACAAAUGUCUGAAAUAUAUUAAUUUGAUACAUUUGCUAAUUCUCUAACUGUGGACCCACUAUAAUUUAUUUUCUUUACAUUCACACUGUUAAUCCAUUUUGACAACUCAUUUUAUGGCAUGACCCCAAAAAUCAAGUAGACCUAAAUCUUAGGUGGACUAAACCACAUGAAAUAGUGGUGAUUAACCAUUAAAAACUUCUCACGGGCCAU